AGUGGAAAAGGAUGUGGCAGGGCCAUCAGUGACAGAUCUGUAAGCCAGGAAAGCAGCAGGGGACCUCUGGUUUUAUUGGGGGAGACACAUGAUCACAUGUGCGUUUUGAACUCCCACUGUGCUGUCACGUGGAGAAUGGGCUGGAGGAGAGGGAGAGAAUGUGUGCAGACCAGCGAGGUGACUUUGGCUCCUUGCAUGCUGGACUGAGGGAGCUGCAGAGGCAGAGAGGAGAGGUGGGAUAUGCAGCAGAGUCCUCUGACCCCCGGGGUGCCACACUGGCAGGCUAACAGGAUGGAGGCGUAUCUCUUUGGACCUUAGGCAGGGCAAGCCACAUUUCUCUUUUGAGCAAGGUGAAGAGUUUUCCUGUCAUUGGACCGUGAAGCAAGGCUGGUUGAGUUCGCUGCUCCCUGUAUGGGACUAGCAGGGCUCUUCCUCACUCCCAACAGAAGGAGCCAGGCUGGGGCCGCCUCUCAUGACUAAGUGCAGAGAUGGAAUAGGGCCGGGUCAAGCAGUGAGCACUGGAGCUGGAGUCCAGGGCCCAUCUGUGCAGCACAGCCCCGGGCAAGCGACAAGCAUCUGCCAUGUUAGCAUGUUAACACCUGCCCCUCUCUAGCAUGGUUCCAGUUAAAUCAGGAGCAACAAACUCAGAGCCGGCAGUGGCCAGAUGAAAAGCAUAAAUAUUCAUAGGGAGAUAUGAGUUACAUAGCAGAUGCUGAACUGCUUGAAUUGUUAAUUGCACAAACCCCACCUGGCAAUCUCUUUUAAGAAACUACAAGUGCCAAACAAUGUGACCACAUAAACACACUUCUAGGCCGAGUGAGGCCCGGGAUCACGAGGCUAUGACCCUUAGAAAUAAUCCUUCAUUCCUAUUUGGAAUUGCUUGUUGUGCUCUGAGGGGCCAAUGCCUCUUAUGUCACAGCUGGAAAUGCCUGACAGACUGUAAAGGAAGGACACCUUGGCAGGGAGAAGAGAAGUUAAGAGCAAGGUUGGGUGAUCCUAGCACCAAGCCAGGAGCACACUCCUGGGGGAGGUGAAUCAUCCCAAAGGCCCAUCUAAAUGGCAUGCCUCAGCCUCACGGGUGGACAAGAGGACCUCACCAGGAAAGUGGCUGAGCCUCUGGUGAGACUCCCAUCCAUGGCAGCUCUGCCUGGAGGGCGGCUUUUCACUGCUUAACACAGGUUCAUCAGCCUUCCACAGACAGCUCUGAGCCCUUGGUGGGCUUGUCAAGCUGGGUGCUGGUCUCUGCCAGGCUGCAAGAAGCUGACAUUAAUGUUUUUAUCAGCCUGACUUUGGGAGGUCAGUGGGGAUGAUUACAGACGACAUCUCCCUGAUCUUAGCAAAUAAAAUUGAUUAAAAUGUGCUGAAUCAGAAACUCUGGCUGAACAGUUAAAAGCUACAAUGUGUUACAGUUUGGGAUCAUGUCUGAUCCCUUUACUGGACAGAGGAUUGUUUCAGAUGGAAAGACUCAAGAACUUUAUAACUCAAGAGAAUAGAGGAAAAGUCUUGAGGAGAGAGGUGGGAAGGGUGAAGAGUGGACUUUUACAUUAAGGGUCACCUUCCUGUCAAGUGCAGCAUCCUUGCAUGUGACUGAGUGCACUUUCCUAGUUUUAAUAUUUAAGCAGUUGUACUUUUUAUUUAUCCAAAUAUACAUAAAGUAUGUAUGAUGGUUAA